rnacentral:lncRNA from 1 species
GUGCCAGGCAUACAGCAGGCGCUCAAUAGCUGUUUGUUGAAUGAAUGAACUGAUCACCGAUGGACAAAUCGGUCCCGGGGAUUUGGGCUCAUGCUCGCAGCAGACACUAGAGGGCGCCCGGCGACAGGCCGGAUCCGGGCGCAUCGCCCCGAGGGCUCGGAACCUUGGCCCCGGCCCGUGGCGCCGCUCCAGGUAGCUCCGGGUCAGGUGGGAACCCUGGGCCAGACGGCUUUGGUUAGGAAUACGGAAUGACGACGAGCAAGGCUUCGGGCCAGGCCGCCUGGGGUGAAUCCGGGCUCGCACACCUUCUGGCUGUGUGGCCUUGGCCAGUUCUCAAGCCCCCCGGUGGGACUCGGUUUGCAAUUCUGCAGAAUGGGUACAAGAAGAGCCGUCACGUCCUAUCGUGGGGGGUCCAGGGGAUGCUGCCGGUGAAGACCUAGCACAGUUCCUGACGCUUGGCAAUCCCCCGGGGGGAUGGGGGAGGCACUGCCACCCGCGCCUUCCAGAGCAUCCACUGCGCAUGUCUGCAGGUGCGGGAGCUUUGCGGUGCUCAGAGCAUCAGAUACGGAUUGGAGAGCCCCGUGCGCGCGAGAGGAAAGGAAGGAGGCAGCGAGUGUGUCCUGGACUCGCACGUGCUAGGUGGUUCACAGGUGGGAAUUGCUGAGAAGGGAGCCGGGUCCAAGGUCAUGCCAGCUCUGAGGACGCAUGGGAGCUCAGGGCACAGGUCCCGAAAUGCCCUGCCCUCUGCCUGCCCUCUGCUGAAUCGUCCUGCUUUCAAGGCCUCCCCCGGGGCGGUGCCACCUGCCUGCCAGCACUCCGGAGUCACGGGGCUAGAGGCUCAUGGCCAAGCCACCUCCCGGGUCGCCGGCCUUUCCCCCAUGGGGCUCCCGGAAGUCCUUUCUCCCUUGCACCGCCCACUCCCAGGCCACCCUGUCAGAGGGCUGCGGAACUGACCGUCCUCCCUGAGGCCCUCUCAGAAGCAGGAGAACAAAGUUCAGCUAGAGACGCAGCUGAACUGGCCAAGGACGGAGGAGCCUCCAGUCCAGGGCCCCAUCACCACGCGGCCUUGGCCGUGGAGCCAGGGGCCCUGGGACUGGUGAACGCACCCGGUCACCGGCUGCUGAUGAGCUCGCGGCCGGGAGAGGCGCUUUGCCCGGCGGCCCGCGUCUCGUCUGCACACGGCACCAGCAGGGGAGCUGACUAUUAA